AGAUAAAGUCUGUUUCACACAUCUGUCCUCUAAGGUAUGUCACCAAAGGGGUCGCUUAUUGGGUUCACUGUAGGGGUCAGCAUGCAUGCUGACUGCUCAAGUUGGAAUUAUUGGGUGAAGGCCUAUUUUAGUAUCAAAAUAACCGAAGUUUGGACCUAUAGAAAUGCACGUGUGUCGGCUGGGACUUUGACGGGAUCAAAUUUAUAGGAGUCUACUGUUCUGCAGCCACUGAGCACUGCAGCAUGCCAAUAUUCUGCUAUGUGUAGUAGGAGAUACAUUCUUGCUGCAAAGUCCACUGCCAUAUGGUACAGUCGACUUCUGUUAAUUCUGUAGUCAUACAUUUCUACAGUCCCAAAUCUCUUAUUUUGAUUGUAAAAUUGGCCUUCACAGGAUAAUUUGAACUUGGAACAGUGACUCGCUGUUGACCCCUAUGGUGAACCCAAUAGCGACCCCUUUAGUGGCAGCACGUCUAGCUCGGCGAUGCUUAGGAAACAAUGUAUGCAUUCAACACGUGUGAUCGCGUGUCCCAUUUAUGCUUGCCAUAGGAAACUUUUGAAGCAAGAACCAUAUAUCGCAAAGUUUAAUUACGGUAUUUACCCAAUUCUAAUGUGUGCCUCAUAAGUUAGCACUAGUAGAAUGCAAUAGUUGUACACUUUUCUUUUCAGUGACACCCGCCGUGGUUGCUCAGUGACUAUGGUGUUGGGCUGCUGAGCACGAGGAUGGGGAUCGAAUCCCGGCCACGGCGGCCGCAUUUCGAUGGGGGCGAAAUGCGAAAACACCUGUGUACUUAGAUUUAGGUGGUCGAAAUUUCCAGAGUCCUCCACUACGGCGUGCCUCAUAAUCAGAAAGUGGUUUUGGCAAGUAAAACCCCAUAAUUUAAUUUUUUUAUUUCAAUGACAGUGGUAAGCUCCCAGCCAUGAUUUGGUAAUGCCUGCCAUAUGCAUUCCACCCCAUUUUUAUUCUUAGGUAAAUUGCCUUUUCAUGAUCAGGGUCCCUUACGAGCAACUGACUUACUCCUGUACAGACUCUAGAGGCUGACUUCAACAUUGUCUUCUGCAUAUUAAUCUUCAAACCCACUCUAACACUUUCUUGGUUAAGGUCCUCAAUCACUAGUAAUUUGUCCCCACUGUUGCCGAGAUAUUCACCAUUGAUCCACACUCCGAAUGUGCUGCAACUGCAGAUUUGAUAUGGCAUUAAUCAAAGCCAACACCGCCGUGUUAUCUCACCACCUUGAACUGACACUCUCACACGCAGAUCCACUGGCCACUGUAAUCACCAUGGCGGGAACGCUAGGCCUAGUGAAGCUGUCUAUGGUGAGGAUCUGGCAGAUCGCAUCCGCGCAUAGACCAACAAUUUUUCGUACGGUGGGCCGAUCCUGAAGAAAGUGCAAUACCAGGCCAACCCGAGGCAGAAGUGAAGCAAGCAUUAAGCACUCCCCAUAUGUGGGCUGAUCCCGAAGGUCGUGAAAUGCCAGUCAAACCUGCGGCGGAGAUGAAGCAGGCUUUAAGCACUCCCCACACAUGGGCCAAUCCCAUAGGUAGUGCAAUACCAGGCCGACCCGCGGUAGAGGUGCAGUUCACCAUUAAGGGGCCCACGUACGCAGCUUUGCUGGUCAUCCUUCACAGAGUAAAAGGGCACCGAGUUUCUUUUGAAGAUAUUUUGGUAGCUGUUCAUUUUACAAAACCCUCUUUUCAGUUUUCUAUUUUGAAUAAAAUAAACACUACUCCUUACUGUUCAAA